GGUGAACGCUGGCGGCGUGCUUAACACAUGCAAGUCGAACGGUGAAGCAGAGCUUGCUCUGUGGAUCAGUGGCGGACGGGUGAGUAACACGUGAGCAACCUGCCCCUGACUCUGGGAUAAGCGCUGGAAACGGCGUCUAAUACUGGAUAUGAGCUGCGACCGCAUGGUCAGCAGUUGGAAAGAUUUUUCGGUCUGGGAUGGGCUCACGGCCUAUCAGCUUGUUGGUGAGGUAAUGGCUCACCAAGGCGUCGACGGGUAGCCGGCCUGAGAGGGUGACCGGCCACACUGGGACUGAGACACGGCCCAGACUCCUACGGGAGGCAGCAGUGGGGAAUAUUGCACAAUGGGCGAAAGCCUGAUGCAGCAACGCCGCGUGAGGGAUGACGGCCUUCGGGUUGUAAACCUCUUUUAGCAGGGAAGAAGCGAAAGUGACGGUACCUGCAGAAAAAGCGCCGGCUAACUACGUG
rnacentral:rRNA from 1 species